GUCUAAGGCCAUGCCACCCUGAACAAGAGCGAUCCCGUCUGAUCUCGGAAGCUAAGCAGGGUCGGGCCUGGUUAGUACUUGGAUGGGAGACCAUCUAGGAAGACCAGGUGCUGUAGGCA
rnacentral:rRNA from 1 species